GGUAGCAGCCAUAUCACCCUGCAGCUCUCAACUUGCUACCCACUGAAGCUCAACAGGAUUGAGCCUGGUCAGUGCCUGGAUGGGAGACCUCAUUGGAAGCUAUGGUUGCUGCUGGAA
rnacentral:rRNA from 1 species